rnacentral:lncRNA from 1 species
ACUGAAGGUCCGCCCAGCGCUGCCUGCGGGUUUAGCAAUCUUUCGGUUUAGAAAGUGGAUUGUUUUGUGCCUUUGCUGUCUUAUCUGGACCCUCUGAAUUGGCAAACUGAGAACAGGGAAGGCACAGCUAAUUGGGCAAGCAUGAAGAACCCAGGAGGCAGACCUACACCUCAAGUUUCUGUGAUGUCCUUUCAGGGUAUGUAAAAAGCUUUGGCUCCAUGAUCACUCUACCUGAAUUUCAAACUCGGGCUCUGAUGCUUAUCUGCCAGCCUCAGUUUACCCAUCUUUGAAGCAGAAGUAAUAAAUUACUUACCCCAUAAGGUUGUUAUAAGGGUUAAAUGAGCUUUUUCAUGUAAAACACUCAGAAAAGUGCUUGGCAUAUGUUAAAUAGGCAAUAAGUAGUAAUAGUUUGAAGUAGAAAGGAGAAUGAUAAUAUUGAUUCCCCCCCUCCUAGCAAUGUGUUAAACUCCUCAAGGAUGGAAGAAAAGUUUAUUUCCAACAGUGUCUAUGUUUGUCAUUGAGAAGUACUGAAAUAUUGCUGUGCUAUACCUGUCUUUUUUCUGCCUUUUUAACCUUCAGAACACAACUGUUUGCUGCAGCUUCUCUCUGAGUCUUCAAGGAGCAGGUUCUAGAUGAGAUUAAAUCGAUAAAGCACACCUUCAGGACCCCUCCUUUCCCCACCAGGUCACAGUAUUUAGGCAGCUACCAACAUACAAAGUUUUAUGUACCUUUUAAAAUUAUUUAUGUAUUUACUUUUAUUAUAGUUGAUUUACAAUGUUGCGCCAAUUUCUGCUUUAAGCAAAAUGACCCAGUCAUACAUAUAUAUACACCUUCUUUUUAUUAUAUUAUCUUCCAUCAUGGUCUAUCCCAAAAGAUUGGAUAUAGUUUUCCCUGUGCUAUUCAGUGGGAAUUGCAUGGCUUAUCCUUUGUAAAUGUGAUAGUUUCAUCUACUAAAUCCAAACUCCCAGUCCAUCCCACCCCCUACCCCCUCCCUCUUGGCAGCCACAAGUAUGUUCUGUAUGUCUGUGUGUCUAUUUCUGUCUUGUAGAUAGUUUCCUCUGUGUCAUAUCUUAGAUUCCACAUAUAAGUGAUAUCCUAUGGUAUCUGUCUUUCUCUUUCUAACCUCACUUAGUAUGGUAAUCUCUAGUUGCAUACAUGUUGCUGCAAAUAGCAUCAUUUUGUUCUUCGUGUAAUAGUUGAGUAGUAUUCCACUGUAUAUAUGUACCGAUCUGUUGAUGGACAUUUAGGUUGUUAUCAUGUCAUGGCUAUUGUGAGUAGUGAUGCUAUGAACAUAGGGGUGCAUGCAAAAUUUUAUAUACAUUUGUGAUAAAUGUGAACAAAUACAAAUGUAACUCUUAGGAGAAAAGUGGAAAUUUGAAAGAAGGUAGGGCAAACCAAAUGAUUUGCAGGAAUGCAAAUAAAGCAGGGGAAGUGUAGGAAGGGUGAGAUACUAGAAAGUAGAGAUUAGGAUAUCUUUUAUAGAACAUCUUUUAUUUCAUAUAAAUCCAUAACUUCCUGUUCCAGUUUUAUUCUUUCUGAACCUUUAAAAAUUAUUCACUUUCCCUGAAACAGACCUUGAAGGUCUUUAAAAGUGGUCUAUAACUAAGAAGGCAGACACUGGGCACUUGCAGCUAGCAAUUAAAAACCCUGUUGUGAUCUAUGUUGUUUUUGUUUUUAGAAAUUUAUUUAUUGUGGUAGGAAACAGUUAUCUACCUUCUUAACACAUUUUUAAAAUGCAUAAUACUGUAUUGUUAACUGCAGGCACAAUGUUGUACAGCAGAUCUUUAGAGCUUACUCAUUUUGUAUAACUAAAAUUUUAUAACUGUUUAAAAUCAACUCCCCAUUUCCCUCUCCUCCCAGCCCCUGGCAACCACUAUUCCAUUCUGCUUUUUUUUUAGUUUGACUAUUUUAGAUACUUCAUAUAAGUGAAAUUAUGCAGUAUUUGUUCUUCCAUGAUUGGCUUAUUUCACUUAGCAUAAUGUCUUCCAGGUUCAUCCAUGUUAUCAAAUAUGGCAGAAUUUUCCUUAUUUAAGGAUGAAUAAUAUUCCACUGAUUCAUAUACCACAUUUUCUUUAUUCAUUCAUUCACCAGUAGAUAUUUAGAUUAUUUCCACAUCUAGCUGUUGUGGAUAAUGCUGCAGUAAACAUGGGCAUUCAGGGAGUUUCUGCUGUGGUGCAGUGGAUUAAGGGUCUGAGUUUUCUCUGUGGCAUUGCUAGCUCAAUCCUCGGGCCUGGUGCAGUGAGUUAAGUAUCUGGCAUUGCCAGAGCUGUGGUAUAGGUCACAUAUACACUUAGGAUUUAAUCCCUGGCUUGGGAAACUUUCAUACACCCCAGGUGCAGCCAAAAAAAAAAAAAAAAAA